rnacentral:rRNA from 1 species
GACGAAGGGGGCUAGCGUUGUUCGGAAUUACUGGGCGUAAAGCGCGCGUAGGCGGCUUUUCAAGUCGAGUGUGAAAGCUCCAGGCUUAACCUGGGAAUUGCGCUCGAUACUGUUGAGCUAGAGUGUGGAAGGGGCUACUGGAAUUCCGUGUGUAGCGGUGAAAUGCGUAGAUAUACGGAGGAACACCAGCGGCGAAGGCGGGUAGCUGGGCUGACACUGACGCUGAGGCGCGAAAGCCAGGGGAGCAAACGGG